CAGAUGUUUUCAUGUUUUGCUUCAGCUUCGGUUUUAGGAAUACUUUGGAGGUUAAGUUGCUUUUUUGUUGCUUCAGUGUCACUGUUGCUGUUGUGGUAGUUUAUUUCAGUGUUGCAGUUAUUUUUUGUUUCACUGCAGUAGUUUAUUUCGUUGUUGCCGGCUGCUAGCUGUGUAUCAGCAGGCUGUUUUGUUUCUUCGGCCUAGUCACUCUUUUUCGACGAUCGGAGGGAAUUUUGUUUUGUUUACGUACUUCUACAUAAACACAUAUAUAAACCCAAACGUCACUUUCAGGACGACCACACUUUUUCAAAAGACUUUAAAUUUUCAACCAAAAGCCAUUGAAGCCAUUUCAACCAUUAGAACUAGUUUACAUUACAAUAACAAAAUUUUAAAAGAAUAUAUACAAUAUAAACAAUAUCAAAAACAAGAAUUUAAAAUUUAUUUUUCUUUUUUUUUCAAUAAAUUGUGAUCCUGAGUAUCAAUUUUUUUUUUUCAAUCUUUUUCUGCUUUUUUCAUUUGUUGUUUAUUGUCAGUGUAAGAAUCAGGUGUUUACAUUAUUCCUGCUUAAUAUUUAGACAUUCAUGAUUGACAAUUUCUUGAAGUCUUAUACUAAUUUAAGUAUACCCUGCGCUUAUAGCUUUUCAGGGCUGAGGCACUUGAAGGUUUAUUAAUGUUACUUUACGAUGUAGGUAUUAGGGUUAUUAAACUUAUGCUUAUUUAUGGUAUUAUGUGGGAAAAAAAUGUAAAUUAUAAAAAUCCCACGUUCUUUAAAUUUUAAGAUGGAAACUUAUGACUAACUAAGAGUAAUUAGUAAGUAGAGUAGAGUAAUUAGACUAGGUAGGGAAGGGGAAUAUUUACAGAGGGAAGAUGUCGGAACUAAUAGGAUGGUAGUUAUUAGCUGAAAUUAAAUAAAAUAAUAUUAUAAUUAUAUUAAGUUGUUUUAUAUUGAACUUGACUAUUGUUGAGUGUUAUGUACUCGGCCGUCCAUGGAUUUAGAGAUCGAAAUUUUCUGUGGUAGAAGAGAAGUUUCAUUUUUUCAUCACAUACAAUUUUUUUUUGUCUAUUACCAUUCAAAAUUUGAAUAGAAAACUAUUUAGUUGUGAAAUAGAUUCAGAUAAUUUUUCAAACCUUAAAAAACAUCAUAAGCAUUUUUAAAUUUGCAAAUUGAACCUACUUCAAAAACUUCCCCGUACGUACAAAUAAUAAAUGAAAUCAAUGCCUAUUUUUUAAUAGAUUUAAUGAUUUAAAAUAUAUUCAAUGUUUUAUUUAUCUUCAUGACCAACCAUUUACAUGCAAUAUAGAAGUUUUGAUAUUCCUUUUCAAGCUGAGUUAAACAAAAUGCGGAAUGAUUUUAAUACUCCGAUUGAAAGUGGCGACAUUUUUUUGAAGUUCAAGUAUUUAAAAAACUACCCACUAUUAGACCAGAUUUUUAGACUCUACCCAAAAUUAUUCUAAGUCGUCAGUAAAAUGAAAUAUCUGUCGUCCAUAUUAGGGACCUUUAGUAUAAACGAGUUUUCUGGUACAAUUAAUAUUAAUAAAAUAUUAAAAUAAUUUUUUUUUAAAUAUUUUAUUAUUUUGUUAUUCUAUUAAUAGUUUUUAAUAACAGACGAAUAAAUAACUAGUGUCAAUUCCGAUUUCAAUAUUUUAUUUGGGUUCAAUUUAACCCUAAUAUAUGCCGCUCCAAUAAAUGCAGAAACACAACAAACGCAUACCUCUACCAAAGCGCAUGCGUUACAAAUAACAUCAAAGCGCAUGCGAAACUGGGAGACAAAAAUAUCAAGAAUAAAUGCUGAUAACAACAGCUGUUUAUUUUACAAAAAAAAAUCUCCACGCAUAAUUUCAGCUGCUCCAUAACCGUUAUGCUCCCCUGAAAAAAAGUCCAGAACAAACAUAGGUUCCAUCACCCACAGUUUCCGCGGUAUACCUAAGAGAAGAAAUUUAUCAAAUUUUAUCAUAUAUUGAAUUAUGUAGACCACCAUGUAAUUUCGUUAUGAAUUUCAGAUAUGGCUUGCGCAGACUGGACAAGUGCUGCUACACAUACAUAUAAAUUCCAAACAAAUUUUUGCGUAUGAUUGGAAAAGGAUAUCAAGACCAAGAAGCAAAUACAGACGAAUUCAUUGGUAUUUUAAUAUAGGAUAAACAUUAAAUUUACCGUUAAGUAAACCCGAAAAAUUUAUGUUUUGAAAAUACUGACUUUUUUAUUCCUAUUUUCUAAUUUUUUUUGGCUUUAUUGUAUGGUUAUUAACGUCAAAAACAGCUUUUUUCAAGAAAAAGUUGGCAACACUGCGUAUACUUGCGAGUUAAGGAAAAUAAGAGUUGCCCACCACUGGUUCAAACUAUCAGCUUCUACCAAGAAGGAGCCCAAGCCGCUAGUGCUAGGUGUUGAGCGGCACUCGGAAUGUGCUUCUAAAUAAAUCCAUAGAAAGAAAACUUUCUUUUGUACAAAGGAGUGAAACAUUUUUUCAGUGUUGAGCAACAUUGCAAUGCAAUUAGAACCUCUUUGGCGGCUAAUUUAAACUGCAGCUUAAAAAAACAACAUCCGUAUUUUUGAUUCAAGGAAGUAUCUUUAUUCCACGCUUUGUGCAAUACACUUAUAUAAAUACAUAUAUAUUGAAUACAAAAUAUGCGUCUCUUUGUGUGUGGUUGUGUGUUAGUGUAAAACAACAUGUUGCAAAAUUUGUCGGGUUAGCACAAAGAUUCAUAAAUAUAUGUCACGAAAUAGGUAAACAAAUUUUAAAUGCGUUUCAUUUCAAUUAUUUUUGAAGUAUUCGAUCGUUUUAGAUUUCAAUUAUUACUUUUUUUGUUCAUUUUUAUAAAUUUUUUUUCGAGUGUAUCAAGAGUAUGUUUUUGGAUUUGAUUUGGUUUGCUUUUGUGGUGACUUUCUAGCCAGCAUGCACAGAC